rnacentral:miRNA from 1 species
AAGGAGCCUCAGCUGAGGAAACGUCUCAAUGAGAUCCAACUGUAAGGCAUUUUCUCAAUUAGUGAUCAAUGGCGGGUGGUGCCAUCCUGGGCUCUUGGUUCUGUAGGAAGGU